AUUUCAUAUUGAGGCAAAAGCCUGUUUAUUUGCCUGAAUUAUAGGAAUUACUUUCCUAAUCAACUCCUCUAGUAUGGCAGGCAUAACUUGAAUGCUACAUCCAAUGCUCCCAGCUUCUUGGAAGAUGUGAUUAAGAUUCAAAGUGACCCACCUACAUUGUGGAGAUCAGAAGCAAACAGAAUGCUGUAUUCAUUCAAAACAAGUUCAGUGUUCUUGGAGGAAAUAUGAACCUCAUUAUAAGAAGAUGGGGAAUCCCUGGACAAAUACAACAGAAAAAAGUAUGUAGGUCAUGGUGGUGAUACUAGUCUUUAUUUAGCAACUACCUUAUGCACUGCACAUUGCUUAAUAAAAUGGAUAACAAA